UACGUAGGGUGCAAGCGUUGUCCGGAAUUAUUGGGCGUAAAGAGCUCGUAGGCGGUCUGUUGCGUCCGCUGUGAAAGCUCGGGGCUUAACCCCGAGCCUGCAGUGGAUACGGGCAGACUAGAGGUAGGUAGGGGAGAAUGGAAUUCCCGGUGUAGCGGUGAAAUGCGCAGAUAUCGGGAGGAACACCGGUGGCGAAGGCGGUUCUCUGGGCCUUACCUGACGCUGAGGAGCGAAAGCGUGGGGAGCGAACAGG
rnacentral:rRNA from 1 species